CCGAACCCGAAUGGGUACCCGAACGCCCACCCCUAUAAAAUACUAUUGUGUCAGGCAAAAUCUUACGAAGAGAUUUUGUAAUAUUUUAUUCUCUGCGUGCAAGAUUGUUCCAAGAUAUUACAAUACCAUUUAACUUUUAUUAUACUUUUUGAAUUCCAAAAUAGGUUCAUAUUUUUCUCUUUCAUCUCUCCAAAUAAACUCUCUGUUCCGUAAUUCUCUUUCUCUCCAAAGAACGUGCAACAGAAUCACAUUUCCUCUCUUCAGCUCCCAUCUAUGCAACUCGCCGAUCGUUGAGUUUAAGUUCAAGAACGCUCUUGUUUUAGUGACGACAAGGUCUGAGGUUUGGUUCCUUCUGUAUUAAGCCGGUUAGAUCGUCUUUCUUUGGCUGGGAACAAUCUCUCUGGUACGAUUCUGUUCGAGCUGUCUCGUUUUGGAGAAGAUAAUUUUGUCGCAAAUAACGGUCUUGCGAUUAAAUUGCGGAGGAUGUUGGGUUUUGAUGGUGGUUAUGAUUAAAGUGCUUAUGGUGGAAGAAGCUGUUAGAUGUUACUCUUGUUGGAUAGACAUUUACAUUAUUGUCGAGACAAUACAAACUUUAACCAUAUAUUAUUUUACGUAGAUGUUAAAGACAGUUGAAAGAACCUGUACAUAGACGGAAAUCAUUUUAUUUACACGGGUUAUAAAUAAGUAAAUUGUAACGUAAGUUGUGUUAGACGGCUACAAUAAUUUUUGAUGCAUCGUCACAAACCAAAAAUAAUAGACAGUUAUAUAAUUUAUUAGUCAAGAUACUUAAUAUUUUAUCUCAAGUAACCCAUUUUCUAAAAAUGUAAGUAUUAUAUUAGCUGUCCAACAAUUUGAUAUGCACCAAUGAACAAAUAUGCCUAAACAUUAUUUGUAUGUUCAUUUCAUAUGAUAUAGCUAUGAUCUUGAUUCUUAUGGUACCUAAGAAUGUGAUAUACAUAAUUCAAACAUGUUUUAUCCCAAAUAACUUGUUUGUUAACCAUGUAAAUAUU